rnacentral:lncRNA from 1 species
UUGGAAAAUACAAAAUAGUUAGAAAAAUGAAUGACGACGCCAACUUAAACGAACCCUAAAUCUUAAAUUAUAAAUAUUAAAUCCUAAAUUUAAACUCAAAAACCCUAUACACUAAACUAAAUCAUAGAUCCUAAAUUAAAACCCUAAACCAAACCUUAGACCCCAAAUCAUAAAUCCUAAUCCCUAGACCUUAAAUUUAAAUUUUAAUGUCGGUGUUAAUGUCAACGUCGUUCUUUUAGGAUGUAGAGUCUGUUUUAGGGCAUACAGUUUGGGUUUAGAAUUUAGAGGAUAGAGUUUGGAUUUAGGG